AUGCACAGAUGACAAGCACGUCAUCAUCAAAGCAGCAUCUGGAAAGACUACAAAUAACAACAGAAUAGAGCUAACUAACAGAGCAAAAGGUUUAUCUGUGACCUUCACUAAUCUCCAAAAGUCAGACUCUAAGACAUAUUAUUGUGGAGUGGAGAGAACUGGCUUUGAUUUAUAUGUAAAGGUGAUUCUUACAGUUACUGAUGCUGUGUCUUCCAGUCCCAAGACAACUCCAAGAACAGUCAUCAGCAGCUCCACUAUGUCUUCAAGCAGCUCAGAUAUUAUUACGGAGAUGUCUACGUCAUACACGACCCUCAAUACAACAACACCUUCUGCAUCAGCAACUCAAAGAGCCGGAUAUGUGCCCUAUUUGAUUGCAGGUUUGAUUUUUAUAAUAAAAGUAGUGAUGGUCGGACUGAUUCUUACCAGGAAGAUGAUGAAGAAACAACAGAGUAAGACACACAAACCAACUGUGUACAGUGGCGGUU